GACGAACGCUGGCGGCGUGCUUAACACAUGCAAGUCGAACGGAAAGGCCCUGCUUUUGUGGGGUGCUCGAGUGGCGAACGGGUGAGUAACACGUGAGUAACCUGUCCUUGACUUUGGGAUAACUCUAGGAAACUGGGGAUAAUACCCGAUAUGAGCUCCUGCUGCAUGGUGGGGGUUGGAAAGUUUCGGCGGUUGGGGAUGGACUGGCGGCUUAUCAGCUUGUUUGUGGGGUAGUGGCUUACCAAGGGUUUGACGGGUAGGCGGCCUGGGAGGGUGACCGGCCACAUUGGGACUGAGAUACGGCCCAGUCUCCUACGGGAGGCAGCAGGGGGGAAUCUGGCGCAGUGGGCGGAAGCCUGAUGCGGCAACGCCGCGUGCGGGAUGACGGCCUUCGGGUUGUAAACCGCUUUCGCCUGUGACGAAGCGUGAGUGACGGUAAUGGGUAAAGAAGCACCGGCUAACUACGUG
rnacentral:rRNA from 1 species